UGCCCAAUGCUCUGAAUGUCAAAUUGAAGAAAUUCAACCAAAUGCGGGUAAAUAGAGGGAGUAACUAUGACUCUCUUAAGGUAGCCAAAUUCCUUGUCAUCUAAUUAGUGACGCACAUGAAUAGAUUAAUGAGAUCCCCACUAUCCCUAUCUAGUAUCUAGUUUAACCACAGCCAAGGGAACGAGCUUGGAAAAAUCAGUGGGGAAAGAAGACCUUGUUGAGCUUGACUCUAGUUUGACUUUGUGAAAUGACUUGAAAGGUGUAGAAUACGUUGGAGACAUUUUCGGUGGAAGUGAAAUACCACUACUUUUAAUGUUAUUUUACUUAUUUCAUGGGGCGGAGACAUGGGCAUUGCCCCUGUUUUUGGCCUUAAGACACGUUUCAGCGGGUCAAUCCGGGUAGAAGACAUUGUUAGGUGGGCAGUUUGGCUAGGGUAGCACAUUUAUUAAAAGAUAACGCAAGUGUCCUAAGAUGAGCUCAACGAGAACAAAAAUCUCAUGUGGAAGAAAAGGGUAAAAACUCAUUUGAUUUUGAUUUUCAGUACAAAUACAAAUUGUGAAAGUGUGGACUAUUAUGAAAAUGAAGUUAUUUUGACCUUAGAUGGUGGUGCAUGUUUUCUCAAUGCAUAGCUUCACUUGUAAUAAAUAACAAGAAGCACAAGAAAUUCCUGCUACAUGCCUAUAAGUUUAGCUUCUCCUGCACCUUCCAU
rnacentral:ncRNA from 1 species